AUCCCAUGAUGAGGGCAGGCGGCCACAUAUUCCUGAAGUCGUUCCCACGCCUCAGGAAUGGACUCAUCCCUUGUCUGCUGGAAACUCGAAAUUCUUCCACGACGGGGGUU
rfam:Oryza glumipatula chromosome 4, whole genome shotgun sequence.